GUACGUGAAACCGUUCAGGGGUAAACGGGAGGGAUCCGUAAGGUCGAACGGGGAGAUUCAAUCCCGUCCGCUCGUCGGCACCCGGUCCGCGUUUCCGGAUGUCGUCGGCCGCCGGCCACACCGUAAGGUGCGCGCCGCGUUAGGUCGUCGGCGGGUCGUUUGGUCGUUUGGCGGCGGCGGGCUGCACUUCUCUCCCCGUAGGACGUCGCGACCACGUUGGACGUGGGGUCUAGGGCCCGGGAUGGAGCCCGAGGGGAUCGCCGAGGAAAUCUCGGGUUGACGUUCCCCCGGACCCCGGUAUGCCCGGCCCCGGUUCGACGGUAGGAAACGAGGAGAUGGCCCGCUCUUUUGCGAGCGUCCGGCCCGGUCGGCAAGCUCGACGUGGUGUUGUGCCGCGGCUCACGCCGCGACGUCGCCGCCCGCGGUCUGCUUAUUGCCGGAGUCCUCGGACAGCUUUGGCCGUUCUCCCGUCCGCGGCACUAUUGCUUCUGAUGCCUUCCCGACCCGUCUUGAAACACGGACCAAA
rnacentral:rRNA from 1 species